rnacentral:rRNA from 1 species
CCAAUAGCGUAUAUUAAAGUUGUUGCAGUUAAAAGGCUCGUAGUUGAAUUUCGGGGUCAGUAGGUUGGUCGUGCCACUGGUAUGUACUGGUCUCACUGAUUCCUCCUUCUUGUAGAACCGUAAUGCCAUUAAUUUGGUGUUGCGGGGAAACAGGACUGUUACUUUGAAAAAAUUAGAGUGUUUAAAGCAGGCUAACGCUUGAAUACAUUAGCAUGGAAUAAUGAAAUAGGACGUUCGAUCCUAUUUUGUUGGUUUCUAGGAUUGACGUAAUGAUUAAUAGGGAUAGUUGGGGGCAUUAGUAUUCAAUUGUCAGAGGUGAAAUUCUUGGAUUUAUUGAAGACUAACUACUGCGAAAGCAUUUGCCAAGGAUGUUUUCAUUAAUCAAGAACGAAAGUUAGGGGAUCGAAGACGAUCAGAUACCGUCGUAGUCUUAACCAUAAACUAUGCCGACUAGGGAUCGGAUGAUGUUAAUUUUUUAAUGACUCAUUCGGCGCCUUACG